rnacentral:lncRNA from 1 species
GUAGCUUCUAAUGCUCCUGGGUAACUCAUUUAUGUACAGAUGAAGCUAAAAGGAGCCAUGAUAUGCUAUAUGUGGGAACACAAGACUAUGCGUACAGGUCCCAUUUAAAGUCUCGUGCUUUAUUAUUUACAUUAAACAGAUCCUGCUGAAGAUAAAGAGCUAUUCGACAAGACAAGAGGAACUGAUGACCAAGGACAAAAUAAGAUAUAUAUUAAGCCCAGCCGACACGUUGGCCCCUUCACAACCAUUGUUCUUGGUUGGCCUGAAAACAGCAACCGCUCUCUCUACACAUGGUCGUGUGGGUACUGCUGGCCUGAAUGGGCUGAAUGUGUGGAACAGAAAUCCAUCCGCACAGACCAAAGAGAAAUCCAGAUCCCGCACGCCUGCUUACCUCCUCCCAGCUCUGCCGUGACUGUGAAAGUUUUGGUCCAAAACCCAGAGAAAGAAGACAAAGGGGAUGAGCAGUGCCUUUACGUCACAGCAAGAAAAGAACUGAGACCCCAAAUCAGGUGUGCUUUUAU